GGCAAGAAUAUACAUGAAAAAUUAUUAAUGGUCAAAGAAAUAGGUUAUUAUAAAGGUUCUAGCAAAACAGUCCCUGAAGCCUGUUUUGGCUGCACUAUAAAUAUGGCUUAAGGACAGAAUACCUCACCCUUAAUCGAAAUUUGCUGUUUAAGCACAAUAAGGAGAAGAAGAAGGAAAGGAGAAGAAGAAGAAGAAGAAAAGAGAAGGAGAGAAGGGAAGAAGAGGAAUUAGAGAGGGAGCUGUUGCAUCUCAGGUAGCUCUUGGACUAGUACUGCACCCAGAUGACGAGACCAGUAUUUUUCCGACUACCGGUGUUGAUCUUAUGGGAGUGGCCUUGGACCUUUUGGCCAAUAUUCUAGAGAAUGAGACAAAGCAUGGACCCGACUGUGGGUGUGAUGACUGUGCCUUUGGAGGCUGACUCAUUGAGUGUUAUGAAACAUAUCACCAAAAUUAAUUUUUUUUGUCAGUAUUCCGUUGUGUAAUAUAUAUUAUGGUGUAGUGUAUACUAUGAUGAUCUGAUCAAUAUGCGAACAUUUUGGACAUGAAUUACGAAACACUUUUUGACUUGUAAAAUGUAUACCUUGUCAUGUAGUGGACACUGGAAUAUAUAUGUAUGUGGAACUUACUAUGUA